CUGACCUUCCCCAUAACUCUGUCAACAGAGGCAGUAGACGCAGAUGGAGAAGAGGAGAACACACACCGAACACACACUGAACAGCAGAUUCCAGCAGAAAACACACUCUGAUGCAGGUGAUGUGGAGGUGCUGUUAAACCGUUCAGCACAAGGAGACUCUUGCUCUAAAAUGAACAACAGGCCAUUAUUAAACUUUUCACAGCAACUGCAACAUCACUGCACCAGGAGCGUCAGUAAAGACCAAGAAGAAGAAGAAGAAACACAGCACUGAGCCUGAAAGCUGAUGUUUGCUGGAGUUUGGAGGAGUUUGUCAGAUGGGUGAAAACCGCAGUGAGUGUUUUAGUUUUUAUUUGUUUAUGAUCAAUCAUGAUAUGAUGUUGUGUAAUGUUUGGGGAAAUGUGAUGUAAAUAAACUGGUACAAAUGAACCCAUUUCAACACAACUGUUCCCCGAUAUAAGUGAUCAGAUGUCUUUUAUUCUCUGUUGAUGCAG